rnacentral:rRNA from 1 species
UGGGGAAUUUUGCGCAAUGGGCUAACGCCUGACGCAGCAACGCCGCGUGGAGGAUGAAGGUCUUUGGAUUGUAAACUCCUGUCAGCAGGGAACAAGCGACUUAGGUUAAUACCCUAGGGAGUUGAUUGUACCUGCAGAGGAAGCCCCGGCUAACGCUGUGCCAGCAGCCGCGGUAAUACAGAGGGUGCAAGCGUUAUUCGGAGUUAUUGGGCGUAAAGAGCGCGUAGGCGGCUCGAUAAGUUUGGUGUGAAAUCCCUGGACUCAAUCCAGGAAGUGCAUUGAAUACUGUCGAGCUAGAGUGCAGGAGAGGUGAGCGGAAUUCCUGGUGUAGAGGUGAAAUUCGUAGAUAUCAGGAGGAACAACAGAGGCGAAGGCGGCUCACUGGACUGAUACUGACGCUGAGGCGCGAAAGCGUGGGGAGCAAA